rnacentral:rRNA from 1 species
GCUUCGGCCGGGGACAGUGGCGGAAGGGCGAGUAAUGCAUUCCUAACGUACCCUUUGGUAGGGGAUAGGUCGGGGAAACUCGGCGUAAUACCCUAUAAGAUCUCCGGAUGAAAGGCUUCGGCCGCCGAAGGAGCGGGGAAUGUCCUAUCAGGUAGUUGGUGAGGUAACGGCUCACCAAGCCGAAGACGGGUAGCGGGUGUGAGAGCAUGACCCGCCGCAUCGGGACUGAGACACUGCCCGGACUCCUACGGGAGGCUGCAGCGACGAAUAUUCCGCAAUGCGCGAAAGCGUGACGGAGCAAUGCCGCGUGCAGGAUGAAGCGGCUUCGCCGUGUAAACUGCUGUCAGGGUUUAGGAAGCAAAUGACCAGACCCAAAGGAAGGGCCGGCUAACUUCGUGCCAGCAGCCGCGGUAAGACGAAGGGCCCGAGCGUUAAUCAGAGUUACUGGGCUUAAAGGGUGCGUAGGCGGACCUGUAAGUGCUUUGUGAAAUCCCACGACUCAACCGUGGAAUUGCUGGGCAUACUGCAGGUCUUGAGACUGGUAGGGGCCGUCGGAACGAUAGGUGGAGCGGUGAAAUGCGUAGAUAUCUAUCGGAACGCCGAAAGUGAAGACAGGCGGCUGGGCCAGUUCUGACGCUGAGGCACGAAAGCGUGGGGAGCAAACAGGAUUAGAUACCCUGGUAGUCCACGCUGUAAACGA